CUCUUGUAGGGCACAAGCAGCAUGAGUGCGGUGCAGUGUGAUUUAGGAUCUGGUAGUGCAAUUGGAGACAAGGGAAAGAGAAUUCUUGGCUUCACAUCCUUGAUGACUACACCCAGUAUACCUGAAGAAGAAGAAGAGAUGCCUCAAGUAGAUGUGUGUUUAUUUUAUUUUGUGAUUAGUAGAUAUAAUUUGUUAUUAUCAGUGACAAUUAUAUGCUAGCUUGUAUCAAUGUCAUGUUUCUGAACAUAUGUAGCUUGUGUAUGAAAAUAUUCAAAACAUACCUCGUCUACCAAAGACAUACAUCAAGAGUCCUGCAAAGCCGAAGAGAAAACGUGGAGACGAGGAUCCUUCAGAGCCAAGCAGUGCGGCGAAGAGGAUCGAUUUUGAUGAUCCAUCAACAACUUAGGAUUUUAUAGAUAGUUUUGGGAUGCUUACAUGUCUAGUUGGCAUGUCUAUUUUGUAUAUGGACAUACAUUCACAUAUUUAGACAUACAUUUUGUUCUA